AACGAACGCUGGCGGCGUGCCUAACACAUGCAAGUCGAACGAGAAACUCCCGCUUCGGUGGGGGGAGUAAAGUGGCGCACGGGUGAGUAACGCGUGGGUAACCUACCCCUGAAUCUGGGAUAACACCGUGAAAACGGCGCUAAUACCGGAUAUCGUCCCAUCGGCUGUGGCUUUUGGGAUGAAAGGUGACCUCUUCAUGAAAGUUGCCGUUUAGGGAUGGGCCCGCGUACCAUUAGCUAGUUGGUAGGGUAACGGCCUACCAAGGCGACGAUGGUUAGCUGGUCUGAGAGGAUGACCAGCCACACUGGAACUGGAACACGGUCCAGACUCCUACGGGAGGCUG
rnacentral:rRNA from 1 species